CCUACGGGAGGCCGCAGUGAGGAAUAUUGGUCAAUGGACGAGAGUCUGAACCAGCCAAGUAGCGUGAAGGAUGACUGCCCUAUGGGUUGUAAACUUCUUUUAGUUGGGAAUAAAAGGGGGCUCGUGAGCCCCGUAUUGUCUGUACCAUCAGAAAAAGGACCGGCUAAUUCCGUGCCAUCAGCCGCGGUAAUACGGCAGGUCCGGGCGUUAUCCGGAUUGAUUGGGUUUAAAGGGAGCGUAGGCCGGCUUCUAAGUCAGCUGUGAAAGUCCGCGGCUCAACCGUGGAAUUGCAGUUGAAACUGGAGGCCUUGAGGGCACACAGGGAUGCCGGAAUUCAUGGUGUAGCGGUGAAAUGCUGAGAUAUCAUGAAGAACUCCGAUCGCGAAGGCAAGUGUCCGGGGUGCAACUGACGCUGAGGCUCGAAAGUGCGGGUAUCAAACAGGAUUAGAGACCCGUGUAGUC
rnacentral:rRNA from 1 species